rnacentral:rRNA from 1 species
GACGAACGCUGGCGGCGUGCUUAACACAUGCAAGUCGAACGAAGUGGCGAACGGGUGAGUAACGCGUAAUCAACCUGCCCUUCAGAGGGGGACAACAGUUGGAAACGACUGCUAAUACCGCAUACUGAAGGAGGGGAUUGCGUCUGAUUAGCUAGUUGGAGGGGUAACGGCCCACCAAGGCGAUGAUCAGUAGGCGGUGCGGGGAGAAGAACGGCAAAAAUGGGAAUGAGAAACGGCCCAAGCGCCGUAGGGAGGGAGCAGGGGGGAAUUUUCGGAAAAGGAGGAAAGGCCGAAGGAGGAACGGCGGGGGAGAUAUGAAGGGCUUUGGGGUGGAAAGCUCUGUUAAGCGGGACGCGGUACCGGAAUAGGAAGCAACGGCUAACUACGUGCCAGCAGCCGCGGUAAUAC